rnacentral:miRNA from 1 species
CUCUCUACCAUGCUCCCUCACAGUUCCCACAAUUCCCGGCACAGCCACAUCAAAGAGAUGUGGCUGUGCUGUGAAUUGUGGGAACUUUGAGGGAGCAUGAUAGAGA